AUGGCUAAAAUGAAAAAAAACAAAAGCUGACUACACCAAAUGCUGGUGAGAAUGUGAAACCACUGGAUCACUUGUACGUUUAUGGUGAUAAUAUAAAAUAGGACACUGUGGAAAACUGUAUGGCAGUUUCUUAAAAAGCUAAGCAUGCGGACACGAGAAUGGAGGCGGAGGCUGGCGGUGGUGGUAGCGUGGGCCAGCGGGAGGCCCAGGACACUGACCCUGCCUCCAGCAAGGCUCCCGGCAGCGCGUCGGGAAUGAAGACACAGUGAGCAGUCUAGAGGUCUUUGCAGGGGAAGGGAAUGUGCCCAAUAUCAUCACUGCAGGCCCACCAGGAACUGACAAGACUACACACAUUCUGUGCUUGGGACGAGCCCUGCUGGACCCAGCACUCAAAGACGCUGUGUUGGAACUCACUACUUCAAAUGACAGGGGCAGUGAGUUGUGAGGAGUAAAAUUAAAAUGUUUGCUCAACCAAAAGUCACCCUUCCCAAAGGCCGACAUAAGAUCAUCAUUCAGUAUGAAGCACACAGCACGACUGAGGGAGCCAGUGCCCUUGCUUGUAACACUUCGGAUAAGAUCAUUGAGCCCAUUCAGUCCCACUGUGCUGACCUCCACUACGCGAAGCUGACCAACGCCCAGAUCCUUGCCAGGCUAAUGAAUGUUAUCGAGAAGGAGAGGGUGCCCCACACUGAUGACGGCUUGGAAGCCAUCAUCUUCACCGCCCACGGAGACAUGAGGCAGGUGCUGAACAACCUGCAGUCCACCCUGGCAGGAUUUGCUUUCAUUAACAGUGAGAAUGUGUUUAUGGUCUGUGAAGAGCCCCACCCACUGCUGAUGAAGGAAAUGAUCCAGCACUGUGUGAAUGCCAACACCGACGAAGCCUGCAAGAUUCUUGCUCACCUGUGGCAUCUGCGCUACUCACCAGAAGGUAUCAUUGGUAACAUCUUUCAAGUGUGUAAAACUUUCCAAAUGACAGAACACCUGAAACUGGAGGUUAUCGAGGAAAUUGGAUACACUCAUAUAAAAACAGCAGAAGGAGUGAACUCCCUUUUGCAGAUGGCAGGCCUCCUGGCCAGGCUGUGUCAGAAGACAAUGGCCCCAGUAGCCAGUUAGAGCAGAGAGUUUGCUGACUGACUUACAAGUGCCCUAUCCUGAGAUGCAGGAGCUGCAGUGUUCUGAUAGGGGAAAAUGCUGCCUUAGGCUGGAACAAGCAUGACUGCCCUUUAAACUCCCGUGGUGGGCUGGACGUGGUAGUUCACACCUGUAAUCCCAGCACUUUGGGAGACCAAGGCAGGCAGAUCACUUGAGGUCAGGAGUUUGAGACAAGCCUGGCCAACAUGGUGAAACCCUGUCUCUCCUAAAAAUACAAAAAUUAGCUAGAGGUGGUGUCAUGCCCCUGCAACCCUGGCUGCUCGGGAGGCUGAGGCAGGAUAAUCCCUUUUUCCCAGGAGGUAGUGGUUGCAG